GACGAACGCUGGCGGCGCGCCUAACACAUGCAAGUCGAACGAGCGAGAGAGAGCUUGCUUUCUCGAGCGAGUGGCGAACGGGUGAGUAACGCGUGAGGAACCUGCCUCAAAGAUGGGGACAACAGUUGGAAACUACUGCUAAUACCGCAUAAGCCCACGGCUCGGCAUCGAGCAGGGGGAAAAGGAGCAAUCCGCUUUGAGAUGGCCUCGCGUCCGAUUAGCUAGUUGGUGGGGUAACGGCCCACCAAGGCGACGAUCGGUAGCCGGACUGAGAGGUUGAACGGCCACAUUGGGACUGAGACACGGCCCAGACUCCUACGGGAGGAAGCAGUGGGGAAUAUUGCACAAUGGGGGAAACCCUGAUGCAGCGACGCCGCGUGGAGGAAGAAGGUCUUCGGAUUGUAAAAUCCUGUUGUUGGGGAAGAUAAUGACGGUACCAAACAAGGAAGUGACGGCUAACUACGUG
rnacentral:rRNA from 1 species